rnacentral:rRNA from 1 species
AUUGAACGCUGGCGGCAGGCCUAACACAUGCAAGUCGAGCGGAUGAAGGGAGCUUGCUCCUGGAUUCAGCGGCGGACGGGUGAGUAAUGCCUAGGAAUCUGCCUGGUAGUGGGGGAUAACGUCCGGAAACGGGCGCUAAUACCGCAUACGUCCUGAGGGAGAAAGUGGGGGAUCUUCGGACCUCACGCUAUCAGAUGAGCCUAGGUCGGAUUAGCUAGUUGGUGGGGUAAAGGCCUACCAAGGCGACGAUCCGUAACUGGUCUGAGAGGAUGAUCAGUCACACUGGAGCUGAGACACGGUCCAGACUACUACGGGAGGCAGCAGUGGGGAAUAUUGGACAAUGGGCGAAAGCCUGAUCCAGCCAUGCCGCGUGUGUGAAGAAGGUCUUCGGAUUGUAAAGCACUUUAAGUUGGGAGGAAGGGCAGUAAGUUAAUACCUUGCUGUUUUGACGUUACCAACAGAAUAAGCACCGGCUAACUUCGUG